CUCUUCAUGAACGGCGUCGUGGAUUCGGCGUGAACAAAGGCGGUUCGUGGAUUCGGAUCAUUGACUCGUGGAUUCGAGUGGCGUCGUGGAUUCGGCGUGAUUGAAGCUUCGUGGAUUCGAAGUGGAGGCGUUCGUGGAUUCGGACGUGAGGGCGUGGACAACCCGGAGGGUAGCGCGAAGAUUCAUAGGAGGUUAAGAGAGGUAGAGUCCGUGGAGUCGGUAAUCACCUUGUAAUCUUUUCUCUUAGUGAAUUAUUUUUUCGCGUGUUGGUCCCAUGGGUUUUUCUCCAAGUUGGAGUUUUUCCACGUAAAUCUCGGUAUGCUUUUUAUUUUCAGCAUUUAUUUUUAUUGCAUCGAGAUUUGUGGUUUUUGGCCGUUCACCUAUUCACCCCCCUCUAGGUGAUAGAUACAAUCUAGAUAGAUCCUUGGGCUACUCAAAACUUUCAAUCUACCUGAAGCUGCUGAAGAAGCUGCUACUCGAGCGGCUAAAGGAAAAGGCCUAGCAGGAGAAUCCUCACGAGGAGGUGAUUCUCGUGCACGUGAAAGGCGCUCCAAACGUGCUGCAGAGGCUUCAUUAGAGCGACAGCAGAUUUAUUCGAGCCGAUCAGUUCUAGCUGAGCGCUAUGUCAACUUCACUGAGCUAGUCAAGGAGGUACCAGAUUUUGGCAGAUUGCUGCAGAGGGUCCCUAUUGAGCCUGUUGGACGGGUUCCAGCUCGUGCCCCAUUUUGUGCAGAGCUAAUUCGAGAGUUCUAUAUGAACGGGGUAGUACUUGGAGAGGAUGAGGAGACUGAGACUUAUGUGUUUGAGACUUAUGUACGUAGAAAGAAGAUUCACGUCACUCCUUAUACUAUUGGAGAGCUCUUAGGUAUGCAUGUUGAUACUACCGGCCUUCACUAUACGACAGGGCAUUUACAAUCUGCAACUCACUGGGAGACUGUUAUUCGAGCUAUAUGCAAGGAAGGUGUUAGGACUAAUCAUUCUUAUGUGGAAUCUAAGGAUUUGCUACCUGAAUAUCAUUUGCUCUCAUUGGUAAUGAGCUACAACGUUCAACCGACAAUUGGAACAAAAAGAAUUCGGUGGGAUCGUCUUGUGCUUUUGUAUCUUCUUGGACAUCCUGAAGAAGCAAGAGGAUUGAACAUCAAUAUUCCUUUUUUUAUGUGGCAACGAAUGGUUCAUGUCAUACAGUCUCAGGUUCGCCGUGAUCUUCUUCCGUUUCCGUUAUUGAUCACGAGGAUUCUUCAGGAAAAUGGUGUUGACGUGUCAUGUGAGAAGUAUGAUUUUGGACUUGGACCUAUUGAUGCUGUAACUUGGACAAAGUCAAGGAGCACCUUGAAGACGUUUCAGCAAACCAAAGGGUCCUCCAGAGGAGCUACUAGUUCAGCACCUCCACCUAGAGCAGCACGCGAGGGAUCUUCUAGUUCAGGGGGAGUGAUUACUGUCGAAUCACUUCAUCAUGAGGUGCGCUCUAUGAAGAAGAAGCUGGCCAAUCUUGCGAGAAAGGUUGAGAGGGGGAUGAAGAGAAUGAUGGAGAAAAUGGGAUGUAGGCAUGAUGAUAUCUUUCCUACUGAGCCUACCUACACUACUUAUACCAGAUCGACUUCACGACAUCCACUCAUUCCACCGUCUGGUGAUGCUCCUGAGGCUGGGGGAUUUGGAGCUGGAGCAGGAGAUGAUGAUGAUGAUGAUGACGAGGACACUGAGUGAUGUCUUCCUCGGGCUUCGUCUUGUUACUUUAUUAUGCUUACUUUCUAGGACGAUAUUUUAGACUUGCUUGCUUAUCUUUCUUUGGCAUGUUUUUAUUUUAGGCCUGUAACUAUGACUACUCUCAUAUUUUUCUAGUAUGUUUUCUCCCUAUUUGCUUUCUUUUGGCAAUUUUUGACAAAAAUGGGAAGAGCAUAGAUGAAGGGGGAGAGCAUAGAUGAAGGGGGAGAGCAUGGAUGAACAGGCAUUGAACUGAAGCAGAGGAUGAUGAGUUCAAGAACAAAGGGAGAUGUGAACGAAGGGGGAGAAGGUAUAAGAAUUUAGUGCUAAUCAUUUUUGAAUGAAUUAUUUUGUAGGAAAUCAAGACUUCAAGACUCCUAGUUGUGUCUAAGUCAGAGAGUCUAUUUUAGGAGUUUUUGAUGUAAGUUUGAGUUUCAAAUUGUAUUUGGAUUACACGCGAGGAGUUCAAUGUUUUGGUGAUGACAAUUGAACUUCAUUUUUCUGUAAAUCGUAAUUUUUGAGUUUGUGUGAGUUUUGUCACGAAAUUGCCAAAGGGGGAGAUUGUUAAGUCAUGUGUGUUGGCAAGUUUCGUGAAGUGAGUCGGAGUCUUGAAGAAUCGGUGCGUGUCGUCGAAGAUCGAAGAAUUCAAGAUUUCGAAGAAGUUGGAAAAUAACUCACACCGUGAAUCACGAUGUCCAGGUAAAAUUUAAUUCAUGAUUAUGGUGAUUCCUACUUAGUUGUAGACAUUAGAAUCAUAAUAUCAUUGUCUAACGGAGUAGAAAGUGCAUUGGAACUUUGCAAAACCCGAAACGGCGAAAAUUUGCAAAGUGUAUCGGUACAGCAUCAGAAGUGUACCGGUACAAAAUGUGUACCGGUACGACCAUCAAGGGUGUAACCGGUUUCACUGUUUCGUCUGGUUUUUCGUUCCGUCAUUGUGUAACCGGUGACAGCCUAAAGUGUACCGGUACACAAUGUAAAAUCGUGAAAUCUUUCUAAUCCGACUCCAAUUGAUUCUAAAGUCUAUAAAUAAGCUAUUGCGCUUCUCUAACAUAUCAAGCAUCAUAAGAAUACAUGUUUGAGAAACCCUAGAGGCUCGGAUUUCAUCUUAAACCUAUUUUCUACAAAAAGCCUCUUUUAGAUCAAAUCGAGAUAUUGAAAUUUGAUAUUAAUAUGUCGAUUUGAUCUCCGCUUCGCUUAGAGUUCUAUUCCCUGGUUUUCUACGAUACUCCUAAGCGAAGGAUCACCAUACGCAUGAUGCUCUUCAUGAACGGCGUCGUGGAUUCGGCGUGAACAAAGGCGGUUCGUGGAUUCGGAUCAUUGGCUCGUGGAUUCGAGUAGCGUCGUGGAUUCGGCGUGAUUGAAGCUUCGUGGAUUCGAAGUGGAGGCGUUCGUGGAUUCGGACGUGAGGGCGUGGACAACCCGGAAGGUAGCGCGAAGAUUCAUAGGAGGUUAAUAGAGGUAGAGUCCGUGGAGUCGGUAAUUACCUUGUAAUCUUUUCUCUUAGUGAAUUAUUUUUUCGCGUGUUGGUCCCGUGGGUUUUUCUCCAAGUUGGAGUUUUCCCACGUAAAUCUCGGUGUGCUUUUUAUUUUCAGCAUUUAUUUUUAUUGCAUCGAGAUUUAUGAUUUUUGGCCGUUCACCUAUUCACCCCCCUCUAGGUGAUAGAUACAAUCUAGAUAGAUCCUUGGGCUACUCAAAACUUUCAGCACUCGGUCGGACGACCCGAGUCCUGAAAACUUUAGAUCAAAAUAUUCAUU
rnacentral:lncRNA from 1 species